rnacentral:rRNA from 1 species
UACGUAGGGUGCGAGCGUUGAUCGGAAUUACUGGGCGUAAAGUGUGCGCAGGCGGCUUCGCAAGUCGAGUGUGAAAUCCCCGGGCUUAACUUGGGAAUUGCGCUCGAAACUACGGAGCUGGAGUGUGGCAGAGGAAGGUGGAAUUCCACGUGUAGCGGUGAAAUGCGUAGAGAUGUGGAGGAACACCGAUGGCGAAGGCAGCCUUCUGGGCCAACACUGACGCUCAUGCACGAAAGCGUGGGGAGCAAACAGG